rnacentral:rRNA from 1 species
UCUGACCGGUUGCAAAGGUAGCGUAAUCACUUGUUCCUUAAAUAGGGACCUGUAUCAACGGCACAACGAAGGUUAUACUGUCUCCUCUCUCCAAUCAGUGAAACUGAUCUCCCUGUGAAAAAGCAGGGAUAAUUCUAUAAGACGAGAAGACCCCAUGGAGCUUCAAACCCACCGCAACUCAAACACUAAAUCCCAUUUACCCCUUAGAGAUAUGCCCAUCGGUUUUAGGUUGGGGUGACCGAGGAGCAAAACAAAACCUCCUUAACGUAAAGACCUUAAUCUUCAUCCAAGAGCUACUGCUCUAAGAACUAGAACACUAACGCACACUGAUCCGAUAUUCGACCAAUGAACCAAGUUACCCUGGGGAUAACAGCGCAAUCUACUUAGAGAGUUCUUAUCGACAAGUGGGCUUAUGACCUCGAUGUUGGAUCAGGAUACCCCAGUGGUGCAGCCGCUACUAAUGGUUCGUUUGUUCAACGAUUAAAACCUUACGUGAUCUGAGUUAGAACCCGGAGAA